rnacentral:rRNA from 1 species
CAGCAGCCGCGGUAAAACGUAGGUCCCGAGCGUUGUCCGGAUUUGUUGGGCGUAAAGCGAGCGCAGGCGGCUAGAUAAGUCUGAAGUUAAAGGCUGUGGCUUAACCAUAGUACGCUUUGGAAACUGCUUAACUUGAGUGCAGAAGGGGAGAGUGGAAUUCCAUGUGUAGCGGUGAAAUGCGUAGAUAUAUGGAGGUACACCGGUGGCGAAAGCGGCUCUCUGGUCUGUAACUGACGCUGAGGCUCGAAAGCGUGGGGAGCGAACAGGAUUAGAUACCCCCGUAGUCCCUGUCUCUUAUACA